rnacentral:rRNA from 1 species
UACGUAGGGGGCAAGCGUUGUCCGGAAUCAUUGGGCGUAAAGGGCGCGUAGGCGGCCUGUUAAGUCGGACGUGAAAUCCCCGGGCUCAACCCGGGAACUGCGUCCGAUACUGGCAGGCUUGAAUUCGGGAGAGGGAUGCGGAAUUCCAGGUGUAGCGGUGAAAUGCGUAGAUAUCUGGAGGAACACCGGUGGCGAAGGCGGCAUCCUGGACCGAGAUUGACGCUGAGGCGCGAAAGCCAGGGGAGCAAACGGG